rnacentral:lncRNA from 1 species
UUUUCUUAACCUUUUAUGUCAUACUCCUUUUAAUAUACUCAAGAAUCAUGUCUUUCACAACAGCCUUACAGUAUUGACCUAAAUUUAGCUGAUGGGCAAGAAGGGCACUUUUUUUUUUUUUUUUUUUUUUUAAAUAAGGUCUUUGUGUACUCAGCUAAGCUACCUUCUAUCUAUCCCCACCCAAAUUUCUCCUGCUCAAGUAGAACCAUUUCUCCAGUUUGUUACAACGGUUAUUAUUUAUACUGCUGGGGUUCAGAUGGUUUGUGGUCUGAUCUAAUUUGGUAACAUACAUAUGGAAAAAAAGAAAAGAGACUUCAUUACUUAGAAGGAAAACUCUCUCCAGUUGUUUAACACUGAAUCUUGAAGUAUCCACUGGAAUUCACCUUGUACUUUCCCAACACCCAAGGUUAGACGUCUGGGGCUUCUGGGCUGUUCGGUGGUUGUGAUAAUACUAAGGAUUCUCUUUGUUUGUUUAGUAUUAGUCACAUAUUUUCUCCACCCUUCCUCCUUUUCUUGGGCUUUGCAUCCCCACUGAGCAACCACAGAGGAUGACUUAUUUUCGACUUGGCUGCCGCCCCUUUCGAUCCCAGUGUCUGCUGCGAAACCAAGGGAUGGAAAGAUCACAGUGUGGUCUCAUGCCAGGUGGCAACCCGCGCCCGGGGUCCCGGGUGUGCUUCACUGUAGCUGCAAAUGCCCUGAAAAUGCGGGCAAAUGCUUGUGCGUGCGUGUAGUGAGACGACUUCCAGUGUCCAUCGCAACCUCACAGGGGCCCCACACCCUGGAAAGGUUAAGAACUCCGCCUCUAAGGCGUUUCACACGCAACGCUGUUUGCUGAAGAGAAAGCGCUAGUGUGACCAAGUCAACGUUCUCCUCGGCCAUCUCCGAAGAGAAUGAGAAACUCUAUGAUAAUUAUACACUAAGCAUCAGCUGCAAUGCUGAAGAUCAUAUCUUGAGUAUGAUCUGGGGGACUUGGCAUAAAUGAAAUGAUACGGAGGCCAUAAUCUAACACUUCAAAUAUUAAUCACUUCAAGCACCUCUCAGCUUCUACUUUUAUCCAAGUUAAUAUACUCUGUCUUCUUUGGAUACUUUUAGCUUAUUUGAUAACAGUAGAUUAAAACCAAAAUGUCAUAAAUCAAAAGAUCCUCUGCAUGUAAACAUUAUGCUGCUAGCCAGAAAGACAUGCCUUUCAUUAUUAACUAGUAGUAAUUAUAUUAUUUUGUUAAAAUAUACUAUUAUCUUCCAUACUUGUGUUAUAAAUAACACUACCCCCAAAAAUCACUUAAUAUAAAUGUGUCAAAAUCAAAACUGCUCUCGUGUCAAUACGCUAAAAAAAAUCUGUUUUUCAAAACAUCUCUUAACUCUUAACUUUCAUUGUUGUCUACGGGUUCUGUGGUCUUUUUAUAAUUAUCACCACACCUAGAGUAUUUUCUACAGGUCAAUAUAAAAUGUAAUAUAAAUGUGCCGGGGGGAAAAGGCUCUUUAAAGCUUUUCCUGCGAUGAAAUGCCAUUUAGAAAUUUAGAAGCAAGAACUCAUAAAAUCAGACAAUGCUGUCAUCCGUACUCACCACUGGACAGGCACACAACGGAGCCCCAGGCACAGGCUGGACUUGCGCUGGAAGCAAGAGACUGAAUCCCAUCGGGAGACCAGGCAGGUAGAAACAGCAAGUGGCAACACUACCUUUCUCCAGCUCAUCUUAUUUGCACAGACGCAGAUUUUGGAAGCCUCCAGGAUGAACAAUGAAAACCACACUAGGUUGUUUUCCCAAUUCCUAUGAAAUGAGUCAGUAGGUCAAACAACUUCUCCACUCGGGAGGGAGAAGGAUUUCUGAAACUGCACUCCCUGUUUCCAGGAACUGGAUUUCCUCUCUUUGCCCCUCGAUAAAAGUGCUGCCAGUAACCCAUGGCGGGCCCACUGGGUUCUGGAUGAGGCGCAUCACUGAUGCUGCCAGACGGGGAGCCUCGCUCGUGGAAACUUGCUCUGUGUGAAGAGGCAGGAGGACGACAGUCCAGCGAGGAGUAACACGUGGGUGAAGGUCUCUUCAUUUCAAAAGAGCUGGCGUAACUUCUUCUCCAUUAAACCAUGCAGUCAUUUAUUUCUUUCACACAAGAGGAUAGAGUGACACUUAAAAUACAGGAGAGCAGUAACUGUAGCUCUAAGAGACCCACAAACUGCUUCCUUCUGUAAGACAUCCUUUCUUCCUCCCAAGGACUAGUAUAUUCAAAAGAUUAUUCAAUUAAUCCACGCUCUGCAAAACCUUUCACAGGCUUCUGGGAGUCUUGCAGCUCCAUGCAUUAAAUCAUAUAAGGCACAGCAAGUAUUUAAGAGCUUGCUGGCAGUCCUCUGAAUCCAUGACUCAAGAGGACGAACACUGGAUUAGCAAUGAUCUUCGGAGUCUACCACCUACUCACCGCACAUAACACUGCUCGGAGUUAGCAACCUGCUGCAUAGGAGACCACCAGUUACGGCAAUGAACUCGUGAUUUCAAGGACUCGUGCGUUCAGGCAAGUACAUGGACGUGGAUCUCUAAACACAGGUACAGAGAUCUUCUGUGACAGCUCGUCAGGAGGAGAGUGGAAAUACUUUUGCUUUCUGUAUCGAGAGUACUUUCUUUCUUUGUAAAGAGGAGGUUUCGUUUUGAUCUUGAGAAAUUCUCUCUGAUAAAAACCACCAACGGAAAACCUGCCAUUAUAAACGAGGGAUUUCACAACAUUCAUUCCAAAAAACUGUGGCUAUUCAUUUCUGGAAGUGAUUCACUGCACAAGAAUCGUUGCUGGCGGUGGAGGGAGCAUUCAUUUUUAGAAGACAGCCCGCCCCCUGAGCAGGGAGCAGAGACCUCAGAGACGGCGGCCACGUGCCUUGCUGACCCCUCAUCACAGCUCCCUGAGUCACUGUCCACCACGAUGACGAGCGAUGACCAAUUUCCUCUCACAACUCCCUCAGUACACAAAACCCCUUUGGUCUGUAUACCCCGAGUACUCCCCUGCUCUGGUGGAAAUGCUCAAAUAAAUCUGGGAGGGCAGCAGCAGUACCUCCACCUGUCAGCGCUCAGCUGGUGAAUAACCGGCGUGUGGACACUCACUUCCUGUGAGUAUUUCUAAAAGAGCUCAUGAUAUUUCCUUUGGAAAAAAAAAAAGUGGGAAGGAAAGUGAUACAAGGAGAAGUAACUCCAACAAGCAAAGCUGAAAGCAGGCAACGUGAUCGCUGUUUACCAGCCACGCCUAAUUUUAAUUUGGUUUCUCAACCCCUGUGUAAUUAAGACAGCCAGAAGAGAACAGCACAGCAUCGGGAGGAAGAAAAAGAAAAAGACAUUUCACAAAUGCUUAGACCUUCAGUGCGCGUGACCAGAAAAGUAAUUUUAAGAUGCGAGUGAACCAAUCUGAAGCUGUUUAGAGUAUUAACCCUUUGAGAAAAACAAAGUUAUUUCCGCUUGCCCCUAAAUUUCAAAUAUGGAAAUGAUCUUCCCUCCUGGGCGCUGAGACACUGAAGACACAGCCUCUGAGUGUCAUCCCUGGGGUUUGGGAGAAGAGGGGCCUUUUUCAGAUAUGUCUGUGAUGGGGGCAGAAAAACACUUGUUUUAAGACCUCAUCAUGUUAACAGUGACUGCUUGGUUUUCGAAUCAAAGCAUCCUUUGAAAGCCAACCACAAAGGAGUAAAAUAUGACCUUUUGUAUCUAUUUCUCUCGACUUUAACCAAACCUGAUCACUUAUAGCAGAGUAGAAUUUCUUGACAAUUGGGCAAAUUGAGUAAGAAAAAUUGCUUUUCUCUUAAAGAGCAUCAAUGUGACAGAGCUCAUUUUCUGAAGGGACUAGUAGACAGUUUGCUAAAAGAGGAGCUUAGAAAAAGCCUGUCCUUUAUUUUCAGGCUAUUAAUGCGCUUCUAUCUUGGGUGGGAAUGGGGGGGGGGCGGUUCAUGAUGGCAGGAGGAGAAAAACACAAGCUUCCACUUAAUGAGACCAAAGAAUAAAAACAAACAGAUCCACUGUGUUCACGUAAUUUGUUACAUGGCAUCGCUAAGCCCUUAAUUUCUUUUUUUUCUCUUUUCACUUUUUUUUUUUUUUAGGGCCACACCUGUGACAUAUGGAGGCUCCCAGAUGCUGCAGGUGAGGCCCUAAAAAGCAAAAUNNNNNNNAAUAAUAAUAAUAAUAAUAAUAAUAAUAAUAAUAAUAAUAAUACCAUCUGCAUCUAUACUCUGGAAGGAAACUUUCAUGAAUGUGGUAUGUUUUUAUAAUUUUACUGUAUUGAUAUUUUAAAAAGAAGAAUAUGGAAACCACUUGCAUGGCAUGAAUAUAAUCUUCAAAUUGAGGAUGAAUAAAAACAGCAUCAAUAACUGAACUGAAGAAUUUAACGCAAACCAACGAUGCUAUACAACAGGCAUCCCUCUGCCCUCACUCUCAAGACCUUAGGAACUUGCUCAAUA